rnacentral:misc_RNA from 1 species
AAUUAUCAAACCGGGAUGCUUUUUUGUUUCUCGGCUUGGUGUUGGGCUUUGCAGUUCCUUUGAUUGGGAUGGCUGGCCUCAAAAGUAUUAGCUGGCUUUUCAUGUGGCAUUGGUUCUACUCAGCGUGAUAAUGAUCUGACCGCUGAGGACAUCUUCCGGCCGGGGAUGACCAAUUCUCAUUUGGGCUGCUUCUAAUUUUGGUAGAGCGGAUUCUGAAUCUGUUCCACUUUUUCAGC